rnacentral:rRNA from 1 species
UCCUACGGGAGGCAGCAGUGAGGAAUAUUGGUCAAUGGGCGGGAGCCUGAACCAGCCAAGCCGCGUGAAGGAAGAAGGCGCCAGGCGUCGUAAAUUUCUUUUGUCGGGGAACAAAGGGCGCCACGCGUGGCGUUGUGAGUGUACCCGAAGAAAAAGCAUCGGCUAACUACGUGCCAGCAGCCGCGGUAAUACGUAGGGGGCGAGCGUUAUCCGGAUUCACUGGGUGUAAAGGGAGCGUAGACGGCCAUGCAAGCCAGGGGUGAAAGCCCGGGGCCCAACCCCGGGACUGCCCUUGGAACUGCAUG